rnacentral:rRNA from 1 species
CAGGACGAACGCUGGCGGCGUGCCUAACACAUGCAAGUCCACGGGAAGGCGGUAGCAAUACUGCUUGUAAAGUGGCGAACGGGUGAGUAACACGUAGGUAACUUACCCUUGGGACUGGAAUAACCUCGAGAAAUCGGGGCUAAUACCAGAUAAUGCAGCGGACCCGCAUGGGUAUGUUGUUAAAGUGGUAUCGACUUGUCGAGAUCACACCUAGGGAUAGACCUGCGCCCCAUUAGCUAGUUGGUGAGGUAACGGCUCACCAAGGCGACGAUGGGUAGCCGGCCUGAGAGGGUGUCCGGCCACACUGGGACUGAGAUACGGCCCAGACUCCUACGGGAGGCAGCAGUGAGGAAUAUUGGUCAAUGGCCGAAAGGCUGAACCAGCAACGCCGCGUGAGGGAUGAAGAUCUAAGGAUCGUAAACCUCUGUUAGAAGGGACGAACAACUCCAUGGUGAACAAUCAUGGGGCCUGACGGUACCUUCAGAGAAAGCCCCGGCUAACUCCGUGCCAGCAGCCGCGGUAAUACGGGGGGGGCAAGCGUUGUCCGGAAUUAUUUGGCGUAAAGGGCGCGUAGGCGGAAUGGUAAGUUGAGGGUGAAAGCCCGGAGCUUAACUCCGGGUCGGCCUUCAAGACUGUCAUCCUUGAGUAUGGAAGAGGGAAGUGGAAUUCCCGGUGUAGCGGUGAAAUGCGUAGAUAUCGGGAAGAACACCGGUAGCGAAGGCGGCUUCCUGGUCCAUUACUGACGCUGGGGCGCGAAAGUGUGGGGAGCAAACAGGAUUAGAUACCCUGGUAGUCCACACGGUAAACGAUGGGCAUUAGGUGUUGGAGGGCUCGACCCCUUCAGUGCCGCAGCUAACGCAUUAAAUGCCCCGCCUGGGGAGUACGGCCGCAAGGUUGAAACUCAAAGGAAUUGACGGGGGCCCGCACAAGCGGUGGAGCAUGUGGUUUAAUUCGAUGCAACGCGAAGAACCUUACCUGGGCUUGACAUGCUGGUUACCAACCUGAAAGGGAAGGGACCCUCGCAAGAGGGAGCCAGCACAGGUGCUGCAUGGCUGUCGUCAGCUCGUGUCGUGAGAUGUUGGGUUGAGUCCCGCAACGAGCGCAACCCUUGUCCUUAGUUGCCAUCAGGUUAUGCUGGGCACUCUAGGGAAACUGCCGGUGAUAAGCCGGAGGAAGGCGGGGAUGACGUCAAGUCAUCAUGGCCCUUACGUCCAGGGCUACACACGUGCUACAAUGGUCGGUACAACGGGGAGCAAGGUCGCAAGACGGAGCAAGUCCUCAAAACCGGCCUCAGUUCAGAUUGCAGUCUGCAACUCGACUGCAUGAAGCUGGAAUCGCUAGUAAUCGCGGAUCAGCACGCCGCGGUGAAUACGUUCCCGGGCCUUGUACACACCGCCCGUCACGCCAUGGAAGCCGAUAGCACCCGAAGUCACUGGCUCAAUCCCGACUUGUCGGGAAGAGAGGUGCCGAAGGUGAGAUUGGUGACUAGGGCGAAGUCGAAACAAGGUA